rnacentral:rRNA from 1 species
ACUCAAAGGAAUUGACGGGGGCCCGCACAAGCAGCGGAGCAUGUUGCUUAAUUCGAGGCAACGCGAAGAACCUUACCUGGGUUUGACAUGUAGAGAAAAGCCACAGAGAUGUGGUGUCCUUCGGGGUUCUACACAGGUGGUGCAUGGUUGUCGUCAGCUCGUGUCGUGAGAUGUUGGGUUAAGUCCCGCAACGAGCGCAACCCUUGUCCUAUGUUGCCAGCACGUAAUGGUGGGGACUCGUAGGAGACUGCCGGGGUCAACUCGGAGGAAGGUGGGGAUGACGUCAAAUCAUCAUGCCCCUUAUAUCCAGGGCUGCAAACAUGCUACAAUGGCCGGUACAAAGGGCUGCUAAACCGCGAGGUGGAGCGAAUCCCAUAAAGCCGGUCUCAGUUCGGAUUGGAGUCUGCAACUCGACUCCAUGAAGCUGGAGUUGCUAGUAAUCCCGGAUCAGCAACGCCGGGGUGAAUACGUUCCCGGGCCUUGUACACACCGCCCGU